UACCCGCAGCACAAGUGGUGGUCAUUAUUAUUGGGCCUAAAGCGUGCGUAGCUGGCCUGUUAGAUGCCUGGGUAAAUCGAUGCGCUCAACGCAUCGAACUCCGGGUAGACCGGCAGGCUUGGGACCGGGAGAGGCGUGAGCUACUCGAGGGGUAGGGGUAAAAUCCUGUAAUCCUUCGGGGAGGACCAGUGGCGAAGGCGUCACGCUAGAACGGCUCCGACAGUGAGGGACGAAGCCCUGGGGCGCAAACCGG
rnacentral:rRNA from 1 species